GAAACGAAGAGAAGCAAGUUGGUCNAGCGCCAAACACGUUGAGACGGAAGGCAUGACGGGA
rnacentral:rRNA from 1 species